UUGAAGUGUUUACUAAACGCAUUUGCAA
rnacentral:sRNA from 1 species